CCUCUCAUUGGCGGAGCUCCUUUUCCGGACGGAGCCAAUGAGAAGGCAGCUGUGAAGCUCUGUCUCCUUGGCAGCAAUGUUGACAUAAACAAAAUUAAUAACGAACAAACAACUCUUGAGCAUGCCUACUCAGAAAAGUCAGAGUACAGUGCUUGGAUUGCUUUCCCACUGCAUUCAUCUUUGCAGACAAGAUGGAAAAAAUCUGCCUGUUUCAAGAAUAACUUCUCGGUAACAAACAUUCCUGUUGUAAACAAGAGAUUGCCUUCUGCAUUUUUUCUCUACUUGUAGGACAGUUGUUUGUUUCUGCUGCUUGGAACACCCUUCAAAUCUCUAAAAAAAAUGUUCCUGCAUUUAAAACAUAAAUAUUUUUUCAUCAGAAGUCUAAAAACAACUCAGAAUUACUUACUUCAGCUUAAUGUAUUAUGCUGUGCUCUAGCAGCACUCUCCUGUGCUGUGGGUGAGGUUCUUUAUAGGAAUGCUUGCCCAGAUCCACUCAGAAAUGGCUAACCAGAUUGUCACGAGUACACUUCUAUAAUCUGUGAGCAUAUGGUAUAUCUUUAUCUUCUUGAUAUUUCCCUCUCUUUCUCUGAGUAUGUAAGGCUGCCACCAAGAAUUUAAUUCCACUCUAAUUAAUUAACCCGUCCUACUGUGCCGAGCCCGAG